rnacentral:rRNA from 1 species
UACGGAGGGUGCAAGCGUUGUCCGGAUUUAUUGGGUUUAAAGGGUGCGUAGGUGGGCUUCUAAGUCUGAUUUGAAAGCUGGCUGCUUAACAGUCAGAUGUGGUUGGAAACUGGGAGUCUUGAACGGGUUGGCGGUAGCUGGAACGGGUCAUGUAGCGGUGAAAUGCAUAGAUAUGACCCAGAACCCCGAUUGCGAAGGCAGGCUACUACGACUUGAUUGACACUGAGGCACGAGAGCAUGGGGAGCCAACAGG